rnacentral:rRNA from 1 species
GUGGGGAAUCUUGCGCAAUGGGCGAAAGCCUGACGCAGCAACGCCGCGUGGGGGAUGAAGGCUCUCGGGUUGUAAACCCCUUUCAGCAGGGACGAAUCAAGACGGUACCUGCAGAAGAAGCCCCGGCUAACUACGUGCCAGCAGCCGCGGUAACACGUAGGGGGCAAGCGUUGUCCGGAUUUAUUGGGCGUAAAGAGCGCGUAGGUGGCUGAGUAAGUCGGAUGUCAAAUCCCCAGGCUCAACCUGGGAUCCCAUCCGAUACUGCUCUGGCUAGAGUCCGGUAGGGGAGCGUGGAAUUCCUGGUGUAGCGGUGAAAUGCGCAGAUAUCAGGAGGAACACCAGCGGCGAAGGCGGCGCUCUGGGCCGGUACUGACACUGAGGAGCGAAAGCGUGGGUAGCAAACAGGAUUAGAAACCCCUGUAGUCC